UGAACGACUCUCGGCAAUGGAUAUCUCGGCUCUCGCAUCGAUGAAGAACGUAGCGAAAUGCGAUACUUGGUGUGAAUUGCAGAAUCCCGCGAACCAUCGAGUCUUUGAACGCAAGUUGCGCCCGAAGCCAUUAGGUUGAGGGCACGUCUGCCUGGGCGUCUCAC
rnacentral:rRNA from 1 species